rnacentral:misc_RNA from 1 species
GAUGAAGAACGCAGCGAAAUGCGAUAAGUAGUGUGAAUUGCAGAAUUCAGUGAAUCAUCGAAUCUUUGAACGCACAUUGCGCCCUUUGGUAUUCCUUAGGGCAUGCCUGUUCGAGCGUCAUUUAAACCUUCAAGCUCAGCUUGGUGUUGGGUGACUGUCCGCUUCACCGCGGACUCGCCUCAAAAUUAUUGGCGGCCGGUACAUUGGCUUCGAGCGCAGCAGAAACGCGAACUCGGGCCCGUCGUAUUGGCUCCCAGAAGCUAUCUUCACAAUUUUGACCUCGGAUCAGGUAGGGAUACCCGCUGAACUUAAGCAUAUCAAUAAGCGAGGA